UUCCCCUGGGGUGGGGCAGCAAGCCCCAAUAAAAAGGCCCUCUGCUGCAUCAGUGCCAUCCUCCUGCUACUCAAGUCCUGAUAGACUUUGGAGAAACUGAUUCUAAGACUCCAGAAAAAUGUCUCAGCAGCAGCAGCAGUGCAAGCAGCCCUGCCAGCCACCUCCAGUAGUGUGCCCUCCCAAGUGCCCUGAGCCCUGCCCACCCAAGUGCCCGGAGCCCUGCCCACCUCCCAAGUGCCCAGAGCCCUGCCCACCUCCAAAGUGCCCUGAGCCCUGCCCACCUCCAAAGUGCCCUGAGCCCUGCCCACCUCCUCAGUGCCAGCAGAAGUGCCCUCCUGUGCCACCUCCCCAACAAUGCCAAGAGAAGUGCCCACCCAAGUGCAAGUAACAGCAUCAGCUUUUAUCUGGAUCAGGAAAGGAUAAGGACAGUUGACUCACCUAGCUCCACAGCUCUACCUUUGCCUUCUCUUCAAAUCCCAUCAUGGAUACAGAAGGAGCUUCUCCACCCUUCAGCCAGCAAUAUGCCUGCGGCGAUUUCAGACAGCUAGAGGUUUCCUUUCUGAUGUUGCUAUACUGCUUUGCUCUUGGAAGUGCCCAAGAAAGCAUCACAAAGCUUCAGAAGGAAGAACAGCAGCUCUUCUCCUGGGUCCCAUCAGAGGAUUCUCUCACUGUCUUCUGUGUCUGUCACCUGGGCAGGGGUUUCUACAGGCUGGAAAAUUGUUACUUAUCCUCUACGUCCUGAAUAAAGUAAAAUUCCUUUGAUGUUAAAAA